rnacentral:tRNA from 1 species
GCCGGCUUAGCUCAGUUGGUAGAGCAGUCGCUUCGUAAGCGAGAGGUCGGGAGUUCGAGUCUCUUAGCCGGCACCA